UACGUAGGGUGCAAGCGUUAAUCGGAAUUACUGGGCGUAAAGCGUGCGCAGGCGGUUUUGUAAGUCUGACGUGAAAGCCCCGGGCUCAACCUGGGAAUUGCGUUGGAGACUGCAAAGCUUGAAUCUGGCAGAGGGGGGUAGAAUUCCACGUGUAGCAGUGAAAUGCGUAGAGAUGUGGAGGAACACCGAUGGCGAAGGCAGCCCCCUGGGUCAAGAUUGACGCUCAUGCACGAAAGCGUGGGGAGCAAACAGG
rnacentral:rRNA from 1 species